GAGAAAAGAUGAUUGGGAAAUUGGUGUUAUAGCUGUGAAAGCUGCAAAAUACCAAUACACUUGUAGAUUUUCAAGCAGUUAUUUCUUCUAUGAGAUACUUUUGUGUGUGUGUGUGUGUGUGUGUGUGUGUGUGUAUGUGUGGCAUGCUUCACA